UUUGAAUGGAUAAACCAUUGCCUAUGUACCAUCUUAAAAAGAUUAGGAUCAAAACCUCGUAGUUCGGGGUAAAAAUCUCAAAAGAACUUGGUGAAUUGAUUGGUCAAAAUCCUUAAAGGCCUUUUGUUAUCAAAGGGAGAAAACUCAAGCGAAAACCAUAAAUCCACCAUGUGAGGAGAGCUUCAACAUGCUAGUGAGGGGUUAACCCUACAAUAAGCAUGGAAGUCUUAUAGUCC
rnacentral:lncRNA from 1 species